GCCAUAGUGAGUCUCCAUGCUUCUCCUCUCCGAGAUGGACGCAGGUUAAGAUCUCUCCUGGGAUCCUCUUCAUUUCUCAAACCAAGUACUCACAUACUCUGAGAUUAUCUUGAUCAUCUGUCUGCAGGGACACAACAUCUGAUCCCGAAGCUACAACUGCUGCAAGCUCUCGGUGGAUUUCUCAGGAGUUCACUGUCAUUUUCCAGGACCUGUCUGGGACAGUCACAUGGAUCAGACUAAUUAAAUGAAUUAGAAGGAAAUGUUGUCUGGGAGUAGAGACUAGUGAUUGUGCACUUGCCUAACAAGCACGAAGCCCUGAGUUUAACCCAAACACUAAAAAUAAAUAAAUUUAUUAUUGAAGACUAUUACCUCCAGAACCUUGAAUUUUCUAAGAGUGGUAAUAAUUAUGGCAUUCCAAUCCAACCCCUUCCCUGAGAUGCAAGGCGUUUUGGAAACUGUGAUCCUUAAGGAUUUUGGAGACCAUUUCUUUAUUUGAAGGGAUUGGCUGGGGGGGGACAUUUUAUUAUACAAGGGAAGAUGAGAAAUUUAAAACUUGCUUACUAACAGCACAGUACUUGCCUCAUUGGUCAAAGAACUGAGUAGAUUCUGUGUCCCUCACCAAGUAUGCAAAUGCCAAUUAUACUGGUCCCUGUUCUCCCUCAGUAUAACACAGAAGCCAUGCUGAUGUUUUGAAUCAAUGAAUAUGAACAUCUGUCAACCUGAAUCCAACAACAGUCUUCAGAAAUGUCUUUCUGACUCCCCCUGCCUCAACUAUAUGAUUGUCUGAGAAAAUGGCUAAGGAUCCUGUACUGGCUAGUGCUAGUCUUGUCAACUCAACACAAGCUAGAAUUAUACGGGAAGAGGGAAUCACAAUGGAGACUAUGCCUCCAUAAAAUUAACCUCAUGGCAAGUCUUCACUGUAUUUCUUUAUUAGUUGUUGAUUAAUGUAGAAGUAAUCAGCCCAUAAGGGUGGAGACAACCUUGGCUACAAGUCCUGGUAACAACAAGACAGCAAGCAAUCCUGUAAGCAGCACUCCUCCGUGACCCCUACAUCGGCACCUGCCUCCAGGUUCCUGCCUUGUUGAAAUUCCUGUCCCACUGCCUUCCAUGAUGAACUGUGAUGUGGAAGUGGAAGUGAAAUAAACUCUUUCUUCCCCAAGCCAA